GGGGGCGGCGAGGUGAAGGGGCGGGACCUGAAGCGCUCAGCCCGGGUCUCCAGUUGCUUGCCGGAGCUUCUCAGCACAAUGAAACAAAACUGAGCAAGACAGAAAAAAAAAAAAAAACAAAGACAAAAACAAAACCUCCACUCUCAAGUCUAGCAGGAGAAAUGGAUUGUAAACCACUUCAGUACAGUGUGUAAACAACCAUGACAGACACACAGAGCACCUGCACUAAUCUGGAGAGAGAGCACAAGCAGCAGGAGAGGCAGGC